UCAAGUGACUAAGUGCAUGUGGUGGAUGCCUUGGCGAUUACAGGCGAUGAAGGACGUGAUAGCCUGCGAUAAGCUUCGGGGAGCUGGCAAAUAAGCUUUGAUCCGGAGAUUUCCGAAUGGGGAAACCCACCGAAAGGUAUCGCAUGAUGAAUACAUAGUCAUGCGAGGCGAACCGGGUGAACUGAAACAUCUCAGUAGCUCGAGGAAAAGACAUCAACCGAGAUUCCGAAAGUAGUGGCGAGCGAAAUCGGAACAGCCUAGUGCUCUUUAGCAGUCGACUUAUCAAAACAGCUUGGAAACGCUGGCCAUAGUGGGUGAUAGCCCCGUAUGAGAAAAGUCUUCUGUGGAACUGAGUGCACGAUAAGUAGGGCGGGACACGAGAAAUCCUGUCUGAAGAUGGGGGGACCAUCCUCCAAGGCUAAAUACUCGUAAUCGACCGAUAGUGAACAAGUACCGUGAGGGAAAGGCGAAAAGAACCCCGGGAGGGGAGUGAAAUAGAUCCUGAAACCGCAUGCAUACAAAAAGUAGGAGCCCGCAAGGGUGACUGCGUACCUUUUGUAUAAUGGGUCAGCGACUUACAUUCAGUGGCGAGGUUAACCGAAUAGGGUAGCCGAAGAGAAAUCGAGUCCGAAUAGGGCGUCUAGUCGCUGGGUGUAGACCCGAAACCAAGUGAUCUAUCCAUGGCCAGGAUGAAGGUGCGGUAACACGCACUGGAGGUCCGAACCGACUAGUGUUGCAAAACUAGCGGAUGAGCUGUGGAUAGGGGUGAAAGGCUAAACAAACUUGGAAAUAGCUGGUUCUCUCCGAAAACUAUUUAGGUAGUGCCUCAAGUAUUACCAUCGGGGGUAGAGCACUGUUUAGGCUAGGGGGUCAUGGCGACUUACCAAACCUAUGCAAACUCCGAAUACCGAUGAGUACAGCUUGGGAGACAGUGCACCGGGUGCUAACGUCCGGACACAAGAGGGAAACAACCCAGACCGCCAGCUAAGGUCCCUAAAAUUGGCUAAGUGGGAAACGAAGUGGGAAGGCUAAAACAGUCAGGAUGUUGGCUUAGAAGCAGCCAUCAUUUAAAGAAAGCGUAAUAGCUCACUGAUCGAGUCGUCCUGCGCGGAAGAUGUAACGGGGCUAAGCCAGUUACCGAAGCUGCGGAUUCACAGUUUACUGUGAGUGGUAGGAGAGCGUUCUGUAAGCCUGCGAAGGUGUCUUGUAAAGGAUGCUGGAGGUAUCAGAAGUGCGAAUGCUGACAUGAGUAGCGUUAAAGGGGGUGAAAAGCCCCCUCGCCGUAAGCGCAAGGUUUCCUACGCAACGUUCAUCGGCGUAGGGUGAGUCGGCCCCUAAGGCGAGGCAGAGAUGCGUAGCUGAUGGGAAACAGGUCAAUAUUCCUGUACCGAUCUAUAGUGCGAUGUGGGGACGGAGAAGGUUAGCUCAGCCAACUGUUGGAUAUGUUGGUUCAAGCCUGUAGUCGUGCCUGGUAGGCAAAUCCGCCGGGCUUAGAUGAGGGGUGAUAACGAGUCUGCUUGCAGACGAAGUGAGUGAUACCCUGCUUCCAGGAAAAGCCACUAAGCUUCAGCUAUAGACGACCGUACCGCAAACCGACACUGGUGCGCGAGAUGAGUAUUCUAAGGCGCUUGAGAGAACUCUGGAGAAGGAACUCGGCAAAUUGACACCGUAACUUCGGAAGAAGGUGUGCCUUUAGUAGGUGAACCAUUUACUUGGGGAGCCCAAUGAGGUCGCAGAGAAUCGGUGGCUGCAACUGUUUAAUAAAAACACAGCACUCUGCAAAGACGAAAGUCGACGUAUAGGGUGUGACGCCUGCCCGGUGCUGGAAGAUUAAAUGAUGGGGUGCAAGCUCUUGACUGAAGUCCCAGUAAACGGCGGCCGUAACUAUAACGGUCCUAAGGUAGCGAAAUUCCUUGUCGGGUAAGUUCCGACCUGCACGAAUGGCGUAACGAUGGCCACACUGUCUCCUCCUGAGACUCAGCGAAGUUGAAAUGUUUGUGAUGAUGCAAUCUCCCCGCGGAAAGACGGAAAGACCCCAUGAACCUUUACUGUAGCUUUACAUUGGACUUUGAACAGAUCUGUGUAGGAUAGGUGGGAGGCUUUGAAGUAAGGUCGCUAGAUCUUAUGGAGCCAACGUUGAAAUACCACCCUGGUGUGUUUGAGGUUCUAACCUUGGCCCGUUAUCCGGGUUGGGGACAGUGUAUGGUGGGCAGUUUGACUGGGGCGGUCUCCUCCCAAAGUGUAACGGAGGAGUUCGAAGGUACGCUAGGCACGGUCGGAAAUCGUGCUGAUAGUG
rnacentral:rRNA from 1 species